rnacentral:rRNA from 1 species
UUGCUAUCUUAGUGGCGGACGGGUGAGUAACGCGUGGGUAACCUGCCUUGCACUGGGGGAUAACACUUAGAAAUAGGUGCUAAUACCGCAUAACAGUAGGAGACGCAUGUCUUUUUACUUGAAAAUUCCGGUGGUGUAAGAUGGACCCGCGUCUGAUUAGCUUGUUGGCGGGGUAACGGCCCACCAAGGCAACGAUCAGUAGCCGGCCUGAGAGGGUGAACGGCCACAUUGGGACUGAGACACGGCCCAAACUCCUACGGGAGGCAGCAG